UCAUCUCCGGGGGUAGAGCACUGUUUCGGCUAGGGGGCCAUCCCGGCUUACCAACCCGAUGCAAACUGCGAAUACCGGAGAAUGUUAUCACGGGAGACACACGGCGGGUGCUAACGUCCGUCGUGAAGAGGGAAACAACCCAGACCGCCAGCUAAGGUCCCAAAGUCAUGGUUAAGUGGGAAACGAUGUGGGAAGGCCCAGACAGCCAGGAUGUUGGCUUAGAAGCAGCCAUCAUUUAAAGAAAGCGUAAUAGCUCACUGGUCGAGUCGGCCUGCGCGGAAGAUGUAACGGGGCUAAACCAUGCACCGAAGCUGCGGCAGCGACACUAUGUGUUGUUGGGUAGGGGAGCGUUCUGUAAGCCUGCGAAGGUGUGCUGUGAGGCAUGCUGGAGGUAUCAGAAGUGCGAAUGCUGACAUAAGUAACGAUAAAGCGGGUGAAAAGCCCGCUCGCCGGAAGACCAAGGGUUCCUGUCCAACGUUAAUCGGGGCAGGGUGAGUCGACCCCUAAGGCGAGGCCGAAAGGCGUAGUCGAUGGGAAACAGGUUAAUAUUCCUGUACUUGGUGUUACUGCGAAGGGGGGACGGAGAAGGCUAUGUCGGCCGGGCGACGGUUGUCCCGGUUUAAGCGUGUAGGCUGACUUUCCAGGCAAAUCCGGAAGGUUAAGGCUGAGGCGUGAUGACGAGGCACCACGGUGCUGAAGUGACAAAUGCCCUGCUUCCAGGAAAAGCCUCUAAGCAUCAGGUAACAUCAAAUCGUACCCCAAACCGACACAGGUGGUCAGGUAGAGAAUACCAAGGCGCUUGAGAGAACUCGGGUGAAGGAACUAGGCAAAAUGGUGCCGUAACUUCGGGAGAAGGCACGCUGACAUGUAGGUGAAGCCCCUGCGGGUGGAGCUGAAGUCAGUCGAAGAUACCAGCUGGCUGCAACUGUUUAUUAAAAACACAGCACUGUGCAAACACGAAAGUGGACGUAUACGGUGUGACGCCUGCCCGGUGCCGGAAGGUUAAUUGAUGGGGUUAUCGCAAGAGAAGCUCCUGAUCGAAGCCCCGGUAAACGGCGGCCGUAACUAUAACGGUCCUAAGGUAGCGAAAUUCCUUGUCGGGUAAGUUCCGACCUGCACGAAUGGCGUAAUGAUGGCCAGGCUGUCUCCACCCGAGACUCAGUGAAAUUGAACUCGCUGUGAAGAUGCAGUGUACCCGCGGCAAGACGGAAAGACCCCGUGAACCUUUACUACAGCUUGACACUGAACAUUGAGCCUUGAUGUGUAGGAUAGGUGGGAGGCUUUGAAGCGUGGACGCCAGUCUGCGUGGAGCCGACCUUGAAAUACCACCCUUUAAUGUUUGAUGUUCUAACCUGGCGCCGUGAUCCGGCGUGGGGACAGUGUCUGGUGGGUAGUUUGACUGGGGCGGUCUCCUCCCAAAGUGUAACGGAGGAGCACGAAGGUCAGCUAAUCCUGGUCGGACAUCAGGAGGUUAGUGCAAUGGCAUAAGCUGGCUUGACUGCGAGAGUGACGGCUCGAGCAGGUGCGAAAGCAGGUCAUAGUGAUCCGGUGGUUCUGUAUGGAAGGGCCAUCGCUCAACGGAUAAAAGGUACUCCGGGGAUAACAGGCUGAUACCGCCCAAGAGUUCAUAUCGACGGCGGUGUUUGGCACCUCGAUGUCGGCUCAUCACAUCCUGGGGCUGAAGUAGGUCCCAAGGGUAUGGCUGUUCGCCAUUUAAAGUGGUACGCGAGCUGGGUUUAGAACGUCGUGAGACAGUUCGGUCCCUAUCUGCCGUGGGCGCUGGAGAAUUGAGGGGGGCUGCUCCCAGUACGAGAGGACCGGAGUGGACGCAUCACUGGUGUUCGGGUUGUCAUGCCAAUGGCACUGCCCGGUAGCUAAAUGCGGAAGAGAUAAGUGCUGAAAGCAUCUAAGCACGAAACUUGCCCCGAGAUGAGUUCUCCCUGAGACUGUAAGUCUCCUGAAGGAACGUUGAAGACGACGACGUUGAUAGGCCGGGUGUGUAAGCGCAGCGAUGCGUUGAGCUAACCGGUACUAAUGAACCGUGAGGCUUAACCUUACAACGCCAAAGAAGU
rnacentral:rRNA from 1 species